rnacentral:rRNA from 1 species
UACGUAGGGUGCAAGCGUUGUCCGGAAUUAUUGGGCGUAAAGGGUUCGUAGGCGGUCGACUCAGUCAGACGUGAAAUCCCUCGGCUUAACCGGGGAACUGCGUCUGAUACUGGUCGGCUUGAGUGCAGGAGAGGAAUGCGGAAUUCCAGGUGUAGCGGUGAAAUGCGUAGAUAUCUGGAGGAACACCGGUGGCGAAGGCGGCAUUCUGGACUGUAACUGACGCUGAGGAACGAAAGCCAGGGGAGCAAACGGG